GCUCUGGUGGCCUAGUGGUUAGAGAGUCCACCUUGGAUGCAGGAGGUCAUGGGUUCGAGCCCUGGUUGAAUCA